rnacentral:misc_RNA from 1 species
GUGGGAGGGGGCUCGCUCCCGAUGGCGGCGUGUCAGUCAGUACAUCUGUUGCUGAUACACGUCAUCGGGAGCAAGCCCCCUCCCAC